AACCAACAGGGAUUGCCUCAGUAACGGCGAGUGAAGCGGCAAGAGCUCAAAUUUGAAAUCUGGUACUUUCAGUGCCCGAGUUGUAAUUUGAAGAUGGCAACUUUGGGGAUGGCCUUUAUCUAUGUUCCUUGGAACAGGACGUCACAGAGGGUGAGAAUCCCGUCUGAUGAGGUGAUCCAUCCCUUUGUAAAGUGCUUUCGAAGAGUCGAGUUGUUUGGGAAUGCAGCUCUAAGUGGGUGGUAAAUUCCAUCUAAAGCUAAAUACUGGCGAGAGACCGAUAGCGAACAAGUACAGUGAUGGAAAGAUGAAAAGAACUUUGAAAAGAGAGUGAAAAAGUACGUGAAAUUGUUGAAAGGGAAGGGUAUUAGAUCAGACUUGGCGUUGUAUGAUUAUCUUCCCCUUGUGGGUUGUGCACUCGUACCUCGCUGGGCCAGCAUCGAUUGGGGAGGUGGGACAAUUGCUGUCGAACGUGGCUUGCCCUCGGGCAAGUGUUUAUAGCUUCAGUAGAUACCACCCUUCUCGAUCGAGGACUGCGGCUUUUUGCCUAGGAUGCUGGCGUAAUGAUCUAAUAUCGCCCGUCUUGAAACA
rnacentral:rRNA from 1 species